UACGAAGGGUGCAAGCGUUACUCGGAAUUACUGGGCGUAAAGCGUGCGUAGGUGGUUCGUUAAGUCUGAUGUGAAAGCCCUGGGCUCAACCUGGGAAUGGCAUUGGAAACUGGCGACCUAGAGUGCGGUAGAGGGCAGUGGAAUUCCCGGUGUAGCAGUGAAAUGCGUAGAGAUCGGGAGGAACAUCUGUGGCGAAGGCGACUGCCUGGACCAGCACUGACACUGAGGCACGAAAGCUAGGGGAGCGAAUGGG
rnacentral:rRNA from 1 species